CUGGCUCAGGAUGAACGCUGGCGGCGUGCCUAAUACAUGCAAGUCGAACGAGAGAGCUUGCUCUCUAGUGGCGAACGGGUGAGUAACACGUAGGUAACCUGCCUUACAGUUUGGGAUACCCUGGCGAAAGCUAGGCUAAUACCGAAUAAUUGGAUUGGAGGCAUCUCCGAUCUCUAAAAGGGGCCUUUAAAGCCUCGCUGAAUGAUGGACCUGCGGCGCAUUAGCUAGUUGGUGAGAUAACAGCCCACCAAGGCGAGGAUGCGUAGCCGACCUGAGAGGGUGAACGGCCACACUGGAACUGAGACACGGUCCAGACUCCUACGGGAGGCAGCAGUAGGGAGUUUUCGGCAAUGGGGGCAACCCUGACCGAGCAACGCCGCGUGAAUGAUGAAAGGUCUUCGGAUUGUAAAGUUCUGUUAUAAGGGAAAAAUGAUAUGGUGAGGAAAUGCUCCAUAUUUGAUGGUACCUUAUUAGAAAGCCACGGCUAACUACGUGCCAGCCGCUGC
rnacentral:rRNA from 1 species